UACGUAGGAGACGAGCGUUGUCCGGAGUUACUGGGCGUAAAGGGUGUGUAGGCGGUUGUUUAAGUUUGGUGUGAAAUCUCCCGGCUCAACUGGGAGGGUGCGCCGAAUACUGAGCGACUAGAGUGCGGGAGAGGAAAGUGGAAUUCCUGGUGUAGCGGUGAAAUGCGUAGAUAUCAGGAGGAACACCGGUGGUGUAGACGGCUUUCUGGACCGUAACUGACGCUGAGACACGAAAGCGUGGGUAGCAAACAGG
rnacentral:rRNA from 1 species